rnacentral:rRNA from 1 species
CGGACGGGUGAGUAAUGUCUGGGAAACUGCCUGAUGGAGGGGGAUAACUACUGGAAACGGUAGCUAAUACAGCAUAACGUCGCAAGACCAAAGAGGGGGGCCUUCGGGCCUCUUGCCAUCGGAUGUGCCCAGAUGGGAUUAGCUAGUAGGUGGGGUAACGGCUCACCUAGGCGACGAUCCCUAGCUGGUCUGAGAGGAUGACCAGCCACACUGGAACUGAGACACGGUCCAG